GCUUAUGUAGCCUAUUUUUAAAGCGUAGCACUGAAAAUGCUAAGAUAGACCGUAAAAAGCCUCUUAAGCA
rnacentral:tRNA from 1 species